CGGGGAUUAGCGCAGCGGUAGCGCGCCUGGUUUGGGACCAGGAGGUCGCGAGUUCGAAUCUCGCAUCCCCGA
rnacentral:tRNA from 1 species